AGCGAACGCUGGCGGCAGGCCUAACACAUGCAAGUCGAACGGUAACAGGUCUUCGGAUGCUGACGAGUGGCGAACGGGUGAGUAAUACAUCGGAACGUGCCUAGUAGUGGGGGAUAACUACUCGAAAGAGUGGCUAAUACCGCAUGAGAUCUACGGAUGAAAGCAGGGGAUCGAAAGACCUUGUGCUACUAGAGCGGCCGAUGGCAGAUUAGGGAGUUGGUGGGAUAAAAGCUUACCAAGCCGACGAUCUGUAGCUGGUCUGAGAGGACGAUCAGCCACACUGGGACUGGGACACGGCCCAGACUCCUACGGGAGUCAGCAGUGGGGAAUUUUGGACAAUGGGCGAAAGCCUGAUCCAGCAAUGCCGCGUGCAGGAUGAAGGCCUUCGGGUUGUAAACUGCUUUUGUACGGAACGAAAAGCCCUGGGUUAAUACCCUGGGGUCAUGACGGUACCGUAAGAAUAAGCACCGGCUAACUACGUGCCAGCCGCCGCUGUAAAAC
rnacentral:rRNA from 1 species